ACAGAGAUAACAAGUCCUUGUUCCUCUGGCUGCGUUGCUGCAAUCGCUGCUGCAUGUAGCAUCGUCAUCAUUGCAGCUGCUGUGGGAGGAUUCUACCUCUACAAGAGAAGUAAAUAUGGAAAGGAACGUUUGAAAUAGACCAUUGAAGAAAUCUCCCAUUCCGAAGGAAUUCAGACCCAGGAGCCGGACUACAAUCAGCUGACCUUCUAUGAGAACACAACAUCACCUGAAAAUGGAACCGUCCAACCUAAAUUCAGCCACUGACUUGGCCACACCCACCUCUUAUCAUGGGCCAGCCACGUGG